rnacentral:rRNA from 1 species
UUCGGUGUGUAAACUCCUUUUAUUAGGGAAGAAAAUGACGGUACCUAAUGAAUAAGCACCGGCUAACUCCGUGCCAGCAGCCGCGGUAAUACGGAGGGUGCAAGCGUUACUCGGAAUCACUGGGCGUAAAGGACGCGUAGGCGGGUUGGUAAGUCAGAUGUGAAAUCCUACAGCUUAACUGUAGAACUGCAUUUGAAACUACCGACCUAGAGUGUGGGAGGGGGAGAUGGAAUUAGUGGUGUAGGGGUAAAAUCCGUAGAUAUCACUAGGAAUACCGAAAGCGAAGGCGAUCUCCUGGAACAUAACUGACGCUAAGGCGUGAAAGCGUGGGGAGCAAACAGGAUUAGA